CGUGCCCGCUGGCGGUAGGCCUAACACAUGCAAGUCGAACGGCAGCACAGUAAGAGCUUGCUCUUACGGGUGGCGAGUGGCGGACGGGUGAGGAAUACAUCGGAAUCUACUUUUUCGUGGGGGAUAACGUAGGGAAACUUACGCUAAUACCGCAUACGACCUACGGGUGAAAGCAGGGGAUCUUCGGACCUUGCGCGAUUGAAUGAGCCGAUGUCGGAUUAGCUAGUUGGCGGGGUAAAGGCCCACCAAGGCGACGAUCCGUAGCUGGUCUGAGAGGAUGAUAAGCAAUACUGGAAAGGAGAGAAGGUUCAGAGUACGACGGGAGGAAGCAGUGGGGAAGAUUGGACAAGGGGCGCAAGAUUGAUCCAGCCAUACCGCGUGGGUGAAGAAGGACUUAGGGUUGUAAAGUCCUUUUGUUGGGAAAGAAAAGCAGCAGGUUAAUAACCCGCUGUUCUGAGGGGGCCAAAAGGAUGAGCAGGGGGUGGGUUGGUG
rnacentral:rRNA from 1 species